rnacentral:sRNA from 1 species
GCUGCCUAAGUCAGUUCCUUGUGGAGCCAGAGCUGGGCGCGGAUUCGCCGAGGCACCGAGGCACUCAAAGGAGGUGAGAGAGCGGCGGCAGACAACAGGGGACCCCGGGCCGGCGGCCCAGAGCCGAGCCGAGCGUGCCCGCGUGUGUCCGUGCGUGUCCGCGAGGAUACGUGUUCGCGGGUGUGUGCUGCGUUCACAGGUGUUUCUGCGGCAGGCGCCAUGUCAGAACCAGCUGGGGAUGUCCGUCCGAACCCAUGCGGCAGCAAGGCCUGCCGCCGCCUCUUCGGCCCAGUGGACAGCGAGCAGCUGAGCCGCGACUGUGAUGCGCUAAUGGCGGGCUGCAUCCAGGAGGCUCGUGAGCGAUGGAACUUCGACUUUGUCACCGAGACACCAUUGGAGGGUGACUUCGUCUGGGAGCGUGUGCGGGGCCUUGGCCUGCCCAAGCUCUACCUUCCCACGGGGCCCUGGCGGGGCAGGGAUGAGUUGGGAGGAGGCAGGCGGCCUGGCACCUCACCUGCUCUGCUGCAGGGGACAGCAGAGGAAGACCAUGUGGACCUGUCGCUGUCUUGUACCCUUGUGCCUCGCUCAGGGGAGCAGGCUGAAGGGUCCCCAGGUG